AAAAACAUCACCCUGUGUCCUCAUACACCUUGUUCACCUGAUUUGGUACGUGGGACCCGUGCUUCUUCCCCAGAAGUCAGAAUCACGAUGAUGGAAUCGACUUGAACAAUUUGCCUCCCAGGGAGAAUGGGAGGAGCUUCUCUAGAGUCAUUCUGUUGAAGGAUACCAUCUAGAAUAUAUCAGCAGUAGUGUAAUCUGUGGCUCUCUGCCCACAACUGUGGAGGGAACAUGUGCAGUGGUUAAUGCAGCCUCCUGGACACACAGGGACACAAGCUGCUUUAACCCAGUUGAAGGUCUUUCUUCUUUACCCAGAAUACAUCUCCAAACUCAGGAAGGGUCACUGACCGAAGGAAUGAGCACCUGCUCAAACGCCAAGCUUGCUCCCACGCCUUGCCUUUCCCAGGCUGCCCCUGGCCAGUGGACGAACAAAGCAAGGAUACCAUGUUAAAACCUCACUCUUGGAAACCCAAGUUUGACUCAAGUCUCACCCAGUGGUCUUAGAGGCUUUUACCUUCUCCUACUCUUGGUUAGGCCUGCAUUGCCAUUUGAUGGCUUAAACAGCUUGUCUAGUUCUCCCCCUAUUUUCUAACAUGGAUAUUUCCUCUAAUAAAAUCCUUGUUCAUUUAAUCCCA